GCGGGGGUGCCCGAGCGGUCGAAGGGGCAGGGCUUAGGACCCUGUGCCGUCAGGGCUUCGUGGGUUCAAAUCCCACCCCCCGCACCA
rnacentral:tRNA from 1 species